GGAUUCAGGUACAGCUGGAUGCAGGGAAUCGGCCUCGCCCUGCUGCCGGGGGUGUCCUGCUCCAGUGUCAGAUGUGAAGCCUGCCUGUGUCAGAUGCCCCUUGGGUGCAGCACCCGUGAUUUGUCCUCCUUCCAACGUAGGUUUAGAAGCAGGAGUGGGGACCUGCUCCUUUCCCAUGGAAGCUGCAGACAGCCUGGGAGCUGGACACGGGAAGAAGCAACAUCUGAGUCAUUGGGGUCUCAUCAGACAGCCAUGGCUGCCAGUCACUUCAGAGUUCCUCGGCGGCUAUUUCAAAAAGUUUAACUCAGUACAGGUCUACAGGAAAAAAAGGUCUUAAAAGUUGUCUG